CUACGGGCGGCUGCAGUGGGGAAUAUUGGACAAUGGGGGAAACCCUGAUCCAGCAAUGCCGCGUGUGUGAAGAAGGCCUGCGGGUUGUAAAGCACUUUCGGUUGGGAGGACUGCUUCUAGCACUAAUAUUGUUGGAAGUUGACGUUACCUUCAGAAGAAGCACCGGCUAGCUCCGUGCCAGCAGCCGCGGUAAUACGGAGGGUGCAAGCGUUAAUCGGAAUUACUGGGCGUAAAGCGCGCGUAGGCGGCUAGAUCAGUCGGGUGUGAAAGCCCCGGGCUUAACCUGGGAACUGCAUCCGAUACUGUCUAGCUUGAGUACAGGAGAGGAGAGUGGAAUUCCACAUGUAGCGGUGAAAUGCGUAGAUAUGUGGAGGAACACCAAUGGCGAAGGCAGCUCUCUGGCCUGAUACUGACGCUGAGGUGCGAAAGCGUGGGGGGCAAACAGGAUUAGAUACCCGAGUAGUC
rnacentral:rRNA from 1 species